GCGAUGAACCAGACCGCCGCUGUACGUUUAUCCUUCGAUGAACGUAUGGAGGAAAGUCCGGGCUCCGCAGGGCAUGAUGCCGGGUAACACCCGGGCUUCGCGCCUAACCACGAAAGUGGUUAAGUGCGGGGACAGAAAGCGCAACAGAAAGUAUACCGUCCGGCCAUGUGGUCGGAUAAGGGUGAAAUGGCAGGGUAAGAGCCUACCUCGGCGGCGGCAACGCUGCCGGAACGGCAAACCUCAUCAGGAGCAAAGUCAAGCAGCGUUCGGGUUUUUGUCCGGCCGGCGGCCCGCCGGUUAAACGCGGGUAGACUGCACAGAAAAGGCCGGUAACGGUCUUUCAAGACAGAUGGCGGUUUCCAACCAUACGGUUGGGGACAGAACCCGGCUUAUGGUUCAUCGCUUUU
rnacentral:RNase_P_RNA from 1 species